UCAAAAACAUUGCCUUUAGGAAUAAUAUUAAAGGUUCAUCCUGCCCAGUGAAUUACUUUCAACGGCCGCGGUACCCUAACCGUGCAAAGGUAGCAUAAUCAUUUGCCUUUUAAUUGUAGGCUAGUAUGAACGGAUAAACGAAAUUCUCACUGUAUCAAUUUUAUACACAAAAAUUAGACCUUAGGUGAAGAUACCUAAAUCAUUUUGAAAGACAAGAAGACCCUAUAGAGUUUUAGUGUAAACUUUUCUAAACAAAAUUUUCCACUUUGGUUGGGGCGACCUAGGAUUAUUAAAAACAUCCUUUCAUAUAAAGAAUAAAUACUUCUUACAAAUGACCCUGAAAUUCAGAUUCUAAAAAUAAACUACCUUAGGGAUAACAGGCUUAUCUUCCUAAAGAGUUCAAAUUGACAGGAAGGUCUGGCACCUCGAUGUUGGCUUAGAGUAACCCACUAAUGCAAAAGUUAGUUUUGGUCGGUUUGUUCAACCGUUAAAUCUCUACGUGAUCU
rnacentral:rRNA from 1 species